UACAGAGGGUGCGAGCGUUGUUCGGAAUGACUGGGCGUAAAGCGCGCGUAGGCGGAUCGGAAAGUCGGGGUGAAAUCCCGGGGCUCAACCCCGGAAUGGCCUUCGAAACUCCCGGUCUUUGAGUUCGAGAGAGGUGAGUGGAAUUCCGAGUGUAGAGGUGAAAUUCGUAGAUAUUCGGAGGAACACCAGUGGCGAAGGCGGCUCACUGGCUCGACACUGACGCUGAGGUGCGAAAGCGUGGGGAGCAAACAGG
rnacentral:rRNA from 1 species